UACGGAGGGGGCUAGCGUUGUUCGGAAUUACUGGGCGUAAAGCGCACGUAGGCGGCUUUGCAAGUUAGAGGUGAAAGCCCAGUGCUCAACACUGGAACUGCCUUUAAGACUGCAUCGCUUGAAUCCAGGAGAGGUGAGUGGAAUUCCGAGUGUAGAGGUGAAAUUCGUAGAUAUUCGGAAGAACACCAGUGGCGAAGGCGGCUCACUGGACUGGUAUUGACGCUGAGGUGCGAAAGCGUGGGGAGCAAACAGG
rnacentral:rRNA from 1 species